rnacentral:piRNA from 1 species
CCUACUGCACGAGACUUUCACUUGCAACGAGC